rnacentral:RNase_P_RNA from 1 species
GAAGAGGAGCAGAGGGCCGCCCCAGACUUCGUCUGGACUGUACAUCUUCGCCGGCCGCAGGCCGGCGAAGGCGAAUGGUCCAGGCGAAGCCUGGGGAGGAAAGUCCGGACUCCGCAGGGCAGGCCGCUCGCCGCAAGGCGAGAAGGAGCGAUCCUUGGAAAGUGCCACAGAGAAGAGACCGCCAGCGGCCCAAGCUCCGCUUGACCUUCAUCGUGGCCAGCCUCCGGCUGGCCAAGGUGUACGGUCCAGGCGAAGCCUGGUGGGUGCGGGCAAGGGUGAAACGGUGGGGUAAGAGCCCACCGCCCCGCUCGCGAGAGUCGGGGGCACGGCAAACCCCGGCCGGAGCAAGACCAAGUAGGGGCACGCUGGGGCCGCACGGCCCCAUAAGGGUGGCCCGCCCGAUGUGCCCGGGUAGGUCGCAUCAGAGAGAUGGCCCUCACCGACUCGGCAGAGUCGGCACAGAAUCCGGCUUAUGCUCCUCUUCCCUC